ACAUGCCUACAACAUAUCAUUAAUGCACCAGAUCCCAUUAGAACUCUAUAGUUAAGCACACUCAGACUAGAGUAGUACUGGGAUGGGUGACCGUUCGGGAAGUCCUAGUAUUUUACAUGCC
rnacentral:rRNA from 1 species